rnacentral:rRNA from 1 species
UACGUAGGGGGGCUAGCGUUGUCCGGAAUCAUUGGGCGUAAAGAGCGUGUAGGCGGCCCGGUAAGUCCGCUGUGAAAGUCGGGGGCUCAACCCUCGAAUGCCGGUGGAUACUGUCGGGCUAGAGUGCGGAAGAGGCGAGUGGAAUUCCUGGUGUAGCGGUGAAAUGCGCAGAUAUCAGGAGGAACACCAAUGGCGAAGGCAGCUCGCUGGGACGUGACUGACGCUGAGACGCGAAAGCGUGGGGAGCAAACAGG